rnacentral:lncRNA from 1 species
CUUAGAUAGUCAGGUGUCGUUUUACCUUUAGUUUUGCUCUUUUCUUUUGUUUAUAGCAAGGUUUCACGGAAUUGGUUUCUGUAAUAUGCAUAGGUUAUGAACAGUGAAGGAAAGUGAUUGAGAGAGCAUUUGUUUGUUAGUCUACAUUUUUAAACAUGUGCUUCUUAUGGAAAAUAAAUUGUGAAUAGGGAUGUAUUAUUGGGAUGUAUUUUGAAUGGUAUUAUUGGGAUGUAUUUUGAAUGGUUGAUACAUUUUGGCUUUAAAUUUAAAUGAGAAUUUAGACCUUUUAGCUAUAUAUUAUGGCAUUAGCAGAUUGCAAGUGCACUGGUAAUAUAGGUGAACCACAAUUUUUUUUCUUUUUUUUUCCUAAUUCAAUCUAUAACAUUUUAAAAACGUUGUGUAAAU